CCAGACACAGAGGCUUUGCUCUGGCACUACAAUGGUGUUGGAGAGGCCAUAGUGAAGUGUCUUCAGAGGGCAGUGAGCCCACAUGGAGGAAAUGCAAGGAAGACCCCGAGAUUCUCCACUCACGUAUCUUCUGAGGACCCGGUCUAUUAGUGGCUUAUAACUUGUCUCUUCCAGUAGGGAAGGCAGCUGUGUGGUUUUGGAUUUCAUAGUAAAAAGUUCCUGCUGUCACAAAGGGGAGGUAUGAAGAAGGUAUGAAGUCAAGAAGCAGAAAGAGGUGCAAAGCCAUCAAAUUACUCCUAACUUCUUUACUUCUUCUGCACAUAGCACAUUCCUAAAAGCCUACGUACAUGGCAGAAUUUACCAUGGGGUCUGUGGCAAACUGUUCUUGGGGUGGGCCAGACAGUGCUUCAAGGGAUACCCCAUUGCUGAGGGUCACAUUAAAGUCUUAGGAUCCCUAUACCUGCUGCUUACAGGUAGAAGAAAUCUGCAACCGUGGCACUUGACACAGAUCCUCUUUGACGUUGAACUGACAAGUUACUUGCAGAGUUUGAAUGGAGCAAAGGGAAAUUUUUCCAGAGGAAGCUACAAAUUUGCAGCAACUGCCAAGGAGGUGUGCAGCCAGUGCAAAGGUGUUACAUCCAGAGGUGCUAAGUACCUGAGCUCCUUCCUGACACCAGUGGGGCAGAAUGCUCUGCAUCUCUCUGAAGCUCUGUGUCUGGACCUCUCUCAGCUGACCCAUGGUUCUUUGUACCUUCUUGCUCCCUGCCUUGGCACCCAGGGCCACAGUUUAUAAAUGCACAGGGUCCAACUCUGCCCCGUCCCCUUGUUGCUGCUGCUGCUGGAACUAUUCACUUUUGGAUGUCUUGCUGAGAGAAGCUUUG
ensembl:lncRNA